rnacentral:rRNA from 1 species
CCACGGGUGGCUGCAGUGAGGAAUAUUGCACAAUGGGGGGAACCCUGAUGCAGCAACGCCGCGUGGAGGAUGACGCAUUUCGGUGUGUAAACUCCUUUUAUAUGUCAAGAAAAUGACGGUAGCAUAUGAAUAAGCACCGGCUAACUCCGUGCCAGCAGCCGCGGGAAUACGGAGGGUGCAAGCGUUACUCGGAAUCACUGGGCGUAAAGGACGCGUAGGCGGGUUGGAAAGUCAGGUGUGAAAUCCUACAGCUUAACUGUAGAACUGCACUUGAAACUUCUAAGCUAGAGUAUGGGAGGGGGAGAUGGAAUUAGUGGUGUAGGGGUAAAAUCCGUAGAUAUCACUAGGAAUACCUAAAGCGAAGGCGAUCUCCUGGAACAUUACUGACGCUAAGGCGUGAAAGCGUGGGGAGCAAACAGGAUUAGAUACCCCCGUAGUC